rnacentral:rRNA from 1 species
GACGAACGCUGGCGGCGUGCUUAACACAUGCCAGUCGAACGGUGAUGCCCCAGCUUGCUGGAGUGGAUCAGUGGCGAACGGGUGAGUAACACGUGAGCAACCUGCCCCAGACUCUGGAAUAAGCGCUGGAAACGGCGUCUAAUACCGGAUACGAAACCGGCCCGCAUGGGCAUGGUUUGGAAAGUUUUUCGGUUUGGGAUGGGCUCGCGGCCUAUCAGCUUGUUGGUGGGGUAAUGGCUCACCAAGGCGACGACGGGUAGCCGGCCUGAGAGGGCGACCGGCCACACUGGGACUGAGACACGGCCCAGACUCCUACGGGAGGCAGCAGUGGGGAAUAUUGCACAAUGGGCGAAAGCCUGAUGCAGCGACGCCGCGUGAGGGAUGACGGCCUUCGGGUUGUAAACCUCUUUCAGCAGGGAAGAAGCGAGAGUGACGGUACCUGCAGAAGAAGCACCGGCUAACUACGUG